GUUUAAUGAUGAAUAGCCAUGCUAAUACUGAGACAUCAAGGGAUUUAUUUCUCUCUGGAUGUUCUUGCAGUAACAAAAAAAACACAUUUUGUGGCUGAAAAUG
rnacentral:snoRNA from 1 species